UUGCACGCUGGCGGCAUGCCUUACACAUUCCAGUCGAACGGCAGCACGGGUGCUUGCACCUGGUGGCGAGUGGCGAACGGGUGAGUAAUACAUCGGAACAUGUCCUGUAGUGGGGGAUAGCCCGGCGAAAGCCGGAUUAAUACCGCAUACGAUCUACGGAUGAACGCGGGGGACCUUCGGGCCUCGCGCUAUAGGGUUGGCCGAUGGCUGAUUAGCUAGUUGGUGGGGUAAAGGCCUACCAAGGCGACGAUCAGUAGCUGGUCUGAGAGGACGACCAGCCACACUGGGACUGAGACACGGCCCAGACUCCUACGGGAGGCAGCAGUGGGGAAUUUUGGACAAUGGGCGAAAGCCUGAUCCAGCAAUGCCGCGUGUGUGAAGAAGGCCUUCGGGUUGUAAAGCACUUUUGUCCGGAAAGAAAUCCUUGGCCCUAAUACGGUCGGGGGAUGACGGUACCGGAAGAAUAAGCACCGGCUAACUACGUG
rnacentral:rRNA from 1 species